GCUGUUUUUGGACUACAGUUCUCAUCAUCCCUGAUGCUAGUUAGGGAUGUUGGGAGUUGUAGUCCAAAAACAGC